rnacentral:rRNA from 1 species
GAACCUUACCUAAGCUUGACAUCCCAAUGACAUCUCCUUAAUCGGAGAGUUCCCUUCGGGGACAUUGGUGACAGGUGGUGCAUGGUUGUCGUCAGCUCGUGUCGUGAGAUGUUGGGUUAAGUCCCGCAACGAGCGCAACCCUUGUCUUUAGUUGCCAUCAUUAAGUUGGGCACUCUAGAGAGACUGCCAGGGAUAACCUGGAGGAAGGUGGGGAUGACGUCAAAUCAUCAUGCCCCUUAUGCUUAGGGCUACACACGUGCUACAAUGGGUAGUACAGAGGGCUGCCAAGCCGUAAGGUGGAGCUAAUCCCUUAAAGCUACUAUCAGUUCGGAUUGUAGGCUGAAACUCGCCUACAUGAAGCUGGGGUUACUAGUAAGCGGAGAUCAGAAUGCAGCGGUGAAUGCGUUCCCGGGUCUUGUACACACCGCCCGUCACACCACGGGAGUUGGAGACGCCCGAAGCCGAUUAUCUAACCUUUUGGAAGAAGUCGUCGAAGGUGGAAUCAAUAACUGGGGUGAAG